UACGGAGGGGGCUAGCGUUGUUCGGAAUUACUGGGCGUAAAGCGCGCGUAGGCGGCUUUGUAAGUUAGAGGUGAAAGCCCGGAGCUUAACUCCGGAAUUGCCUUUAAGACUGCAUCGCUAGAAUUGUGGAGAGGUAAGUGGAAUUCCGAGUGUAGAGGUGAAAUUCGUAGAUAUUCGGAAGAACACCAGUGGCGAAGGCGACUUACUGGACACAUAUUGACGCUGAGGUGCGAAAGCGUGGGGAGCAAACAGG
rnacentral:rRNA from 1 species